UAUUUUUUUUUAAGUGAAGAACCACUUUACUCUUACUAAGUAGUCAUUACCAAAAUUUUUUUGGUGUUUACAUGUAAAUGUCAAUUAUGUUAAUAAAAAAUGAAAAUAUAUUUGCUUGUACUACGACUGACUGACACUUAUUCUCUAGUUUUCGUCACGGAAAACUUUGAAUGGUUAUUUGGAUUUUCUUUUGUUUGAUAAUAUAGACGGUAUUGAUAUUUUAGUAGAGAAGGUCCACAUAUAGCCCUAUUUUUUCUUUUUAAUUAAAAAUUCGUUAAAAUUAUUUACUAAAUUAUCUUUAUUACCUUCAAUUUCAACAUCUUUAUAAACAUGUUUUCCUUUAAUUUUGUUUACUAUCUACCAGGCACAUUUGUUUCUGUUUUUUAAUCUAUCUGCAUAAUUCUGUUUUUUUAUAUUUUUUUAGAAGGCUAUCAUAAUCCUUCUUUUUUACUUUGUCGAGUUCCUUAUAUCUAGUAUUUACAUUUUGCAUCACGAAAGGAAUGUCCAAUUGUUUUUUACACUCAUUGAUUUCAGUGUGUUUUAUAUCCUAUCAAAGCCCCGUAAAAUUCUAAGACUGUUUAUUUUUCUCACAUCUCAGGCUGGGAGGAUGUUUGUCAGACUUAUCUAACCCACCAAACUUAAUAUUCUCGAUAAAUUGGUUUCCGCAUUCAGUCUUUUCACUCCAGUAACCAAAGCAAACUAGUUUAAAAUUAGACCAGGUGCUUACCGUGUGUACUACUGAAACCUACUUAUCUGUAACAAUGUCCUAUAUCUAAUCGGCUUAAGUCGACCUUUCGUACAAUUCCAAAUGUAAACCGAAAAUUCUGUUUUGCAAAGUGGCCACAUUCUAUUUUUAAGUGGUUUUUCUUCAAACGUCUCCGCAAUAUUUUUUUAAUGCAGAAAAUUGUUGAAUAAUGGGAACGAUUUGAGAGGAUAAGCAGUGUCGGAGAAUUCUUUCCUGUUUCACUGUGAGACACACAAAACAAUUUUUUUGUAACGGUGCGUUAAUAUUAGUUUAGUGUAGAUAAAAUAUAAAGCUGUCAGAAAUAGCUUUCUAGUUUUUAAUUUUGUUAUGUGCGUUACAAAAAAUUUUCAAAACUUGAAGGAAAAAAAUGACUGUUUCAAGAAACAAACGAAUUUAUAAAUGCGUUAACCAUGCUAAAGAAUAAAUACAUUAAAACAUUUAAUGUCAAAGCCAAAAUUAAUGUAUUUUGAAUCAUACAUAUAAAUCGAGAAGGGUUUAAAAAUUAUUAAAAGUUAACCUAGGAAGUUAAGUCCUCUUCUUAUUUACAUUUUUGCAUUUUUGCAAUUAAUUGUUUUAGCUGAAGUCCUUUCAAAUAUACUACUAUGUGAAAAAUCUGCAAUCUUCGCUACUUAAAUUCAGCUUCCUGAAGUUUUCGUUUUUUUUAUUUUUUAUUUUUGGUCUUUUUAUACUGAUUUGACAUAAAGAAUGCCUAAUGAGAAAUUGCCAUAAAUUUAAAGGCAUAUUUUUUGAGUCAGAAUAGCCUGAUUCAGCUAUGCUUAAUAUAGAGCAAAAUUUGAUUUUAAAAAAGACACGAUAUUGAAACAUAUAGUUCUAAUUUUAAAUUUUAACAUCCUGUUCUAAUAGCAACUUUUCGACUAAACAUAGUCAAGACGAAAACUAAAAGUGCAUAACAAUGGGAGAGGUACGGCCGCUACCAGGGAGUCUCCAUGUUUGCCCUAAAAAUCCUUCAACCAUAGUUCAGCACGACACACACAUAUGUUGAAAUAUACGGCACCAAUUAGACCCAUCGAGAAUGAUACCAUUAGCUUUGUUUCCAACAACGACCUUCUGGAGAAUAGCUCAUCCGCCCGUGGGAAAAGCGGCUAAUAAGACAUGGUGGGGUGUCAUAAUGCUAAUUAUCCGAUGUCACAAGUAGAUACUCUAUUGUUUCGCGCCCGCAUACUCAGUGGAUGCCGUGGAGAAUUUUUAUUCUUUCCUAUGCGGCUAAUUGAAGUGCCGUACCUGGUCGAGAGAUGCCACUUUGCAUUUGCUGAAUGUUUACGCCGCAUAAAUUAAUAGGCGUCGUGUGCAGAUUGAUCGAUUUAGUUUAAAUAUUCAUUAACGAGAGCCAUGUUUGAUUUAUAGGGUUCUUAAACAAAUGUAAAUAAGUGCAGUUUUUUUAGACGUCCGCAAAUAUUAACAUACUGGAUCGAGUUGUUGGGGUAAUAGAUUACUUCCCGUUUUAGAUUUUUAACAAAAUGGCGUUAUGAUGGAGCCACAUAUAAAUGGACAAGCAAAUAACCUCAAGAAUAGAGAUACAGGAACAGGCUUUUUUUAAACCGAAUCGUUAGGGUUUGAGUCAUCUGCCUGCAAGGAGGAAGUACUAUGUAAAAAGCACUGACCAACAUUAUACAUGAAAAUGGCAAACAAUAAGGGACCCAAAUGCGACUCCUGAGGGACCCCCGAAGUUAUAUUUGUACUCUUUGAUUUUAUCCCACUUACAACAACAUACUGAGCAACUCUUAAGGAGGCCGAGCAAAACAGCGAAAUUUUCUAGUUUCACGGCAAGAGGUGAUUCUAGUGAUUAUUUGCAGAUGGAAAUAAAAAUGCGGAUAAUAAAAACAAUUUCAAAAACGAAUACCUCCCAAACGGUUUGAGAUA